GGAUGUGAGGUGGCUCAAUGGAAGAGCUUUUGUUUUGCAUGCAGAAGGUUCCAGGUUCGAUUACUGGCUUCUCCA
rnacentral:tRNA from 1 species